rnacentral:rRNA from 1 species
GGGUUGUGAGGUUAAGCGACUAAGCGUACACGGUGGAUGCCCUGGCAGUUAGAGGCGAUGAAGGGCGUGCUAAUCUGCGAUAAGCGCCGGUAAGGUGAUAUGAACCGUUAUAACCGGCGAUACCCGAAUGGGGAAACCCAGUGUGAUUCGUCACACUAUCAUUAACUGAAUCCAUAGGUUAAUGAGGCGAACCGGGGGAACUGAAACAUCUAAGUACCCCGAGGAAAAGAAAUCAACCGAGAUUCCCCCAGUAGCGGCGAGCGAACGGGGAGGAGCCCAGAGCCUGAAUCAGCAUGUGUGUUAGUGGAAGCGUCUGGAAAGGCGCGCGAUACAGGGUGACAGCCCCGUACACAAAAGCGCAUGUGCUGUGAGCUCGAUGAGUAGGGCGGGACACGUGGUAUCCUGUCUGAAUAUGGGGGGACCAUCCUCCAAGGCUAAAUACUCCUGACUGACCGAUAGUGAACCAGUACCGUGAGGGAAAGGCGAAAAGAACCCCGGCGAGGGGAGUGAAAAAGAACCUGAAACCGUGUACGUACAAGCAGUGGGAGCCCCACCACUAAGCCAGUGGUGAACUCCACAUACGCAUCCUUUGCUGAGGAUACGGUUAACGGAGCGAAAGCGACGUUCAACCUCAAAAGAAGCAGAGGGGGCUUAGUGGUGGGGUGACUGCGUACCUUUUGUAUAAUGGGUCAGCGACUUAUAUUCUGUAGCAAGGUUAACCGAAUAGGGGAGCCGGAGGGAAACCGAGUCUUAACCGGGCGUUAAGUUGCAGGGUAUAGACCCGAAACCCGGUGAUCUAGCCAUGGGCAGGUUGAAGGUUGGGUAACACUAACUGGAGGACCGAACCGACUAAUGUUGAAAAAUUAGCGGAUGACCUGUGGCUGGGGGUGAAAGGCCAAUCAAACCGGGAGAUAGCUGGUUCUCCCCGAAAGCUAUUUAGGUAGCGCCUCGUGAAUUCAUCUCCGGGGGUAGAGCACUGUUUCGGCUAGGGGGUCAUCCCGACUUACCAACCCGAUGCAAACUGCGAAUACCGGAGAAUGUUAUCACGGGAGACACACGGCGGGUGCUAACGUCCGUCGUGAAGAGGGAAACAACCCAGACCGCCAGCUAAGGUCCCAAAGUCAUGGUUAAGUGGGAAACGAUGUGGGAAGGCCCAGACAGCCAGGAUGUUGGCUUAGAAGCAGCCAUCAUUUAAAGAAAGCGUAAUAGCUCACUGGUCGAGUCGGCCUGCGCGGAAGAUGUAACGGGGCUAAACCAUGCACCGAAGCUGCGGCAGCGAACGUAUCACCCAAGACAACUUUACGGAGUUGACGAUUGAUGGAGCGAAGCGACGUCAAAGCGUUCAUUAAAGUCGAGUUGGCUUAGGGA